CAGUCGUACCUGCGGACAAUCAGCUUUUUGAGUGUGAUUAUGUGGAUUGUGAGGAGUUUAAUCACCCUCAUGCUUUACGUAUUCGUGCUCUUGGGUGUACUUGCCCGUGUGGUAGGUUAACAUCAAUUUUGGUCGUCAUAAAAUGACUGGAGGAAUGUAGCUUUGGUCUCGUAUCGAAGUGUUAUAGCCUUCGGUAGAUGUGAUUGAUCGAGAUUGAGGA
rnacentral:rRNA from 1 species